UCUCCGUAGGUGAACUUGCGGAGGGAUCAUUACCGAGUGAAGGGCCUUCGGGUCCGACCUCCAACCCUUUGUGAACCAAACUUGUUGCUUCGGGGGCGACCCUGCCGACGACUCCGUCGCCGGGCGCCCCCGGAGGUCUUCUAAACACUGCAUCUUUGCGUCGGAGUUUAAAACAAAUUAAACAAAACUUUCAACAACGGAUCUCUUGGUUCUGGCAUCGAUGAAGAACGCAGC
rnacentral:misc_RNA from 1 species